rnacentral:sRNA from 1 species
UCCAUAGUUUGCUUUUUGUUUCUUGUCUCUUGCACGACAUCCGACUUUCUUGCCACUCUCAGUUUCGCUCCUCUUCCUUCUCGUAUCUUCUCAUUUGAAAUCCUGUUUGGAGCACUUCCUUCCAAAGCCGAUUAAAAUAUACCCACAAGAUAUUUAUAAAGCCUGGUAUUAUUCUAUUUUAUUUUUUUAUUCAUUUCAGAUUUACUACAUAUUUAAAAAUUAUAUUGUCUUCUUCGUUGGCCCCGCGUCACCUCCAUUUUGUUUCCACUUUUCGCCUUCCUUCUGAUUUAUUACCCCUACGAUCCCCUACUCAACCCCCACCAUUAGGUGGAGAAAAAUUGACUUUACACGGUUAUGCCCUUUUCAGAGGUGCAUGUAUCGGAGCAUGGGCGCGAAAACCCCCGCCAAAGAUCAUUUCGUGCCUGGAUUCUCAAAUGAUGCUUUUGCCGCAUUAAUAAUCUGUCUUAGUCACGACAACCUCAUCGCUGUCGCUAGCAUCGCGGCGCUAAGCGAUGUCAAGAAAGCAUUGGUUGAAUAUGAUGUCAAUGGCACAAUCGUCCUUCUGGGCAUUCCUGCAGAAAGAAUGAGUGUUGAAUAAGAUGAAGCUACUCGACGGAGGAGUUUUUGAGAGUAUAGGACAACGCUAUGAUUCAAUCACUUAAAGCCGUCAAACUCGAACAGCGGUCUUGAUGUCCGCAUGAUGAUUUAUCCAGAACAUGCAUAGGCUGGAGAAGGAGAAGUCAUCCCAGGUCUAGUUAUCCAAUGUGUUUUGGUAAUCUAAUGUGUUGUUGAGAGAUCGAGUAUUUUCGGGAAAUCAAAAAUCAGUCAUGCUGUUAACCGGUAAACG